rnacentral:lncRNA from 1 species
UUUUCCAUUGAAUUUCUCCAUUUUAAGAACAUUUUUCUCUGGAUUUUCUCCAUUUCUUAGGACAUUUUUUCAUUUUAAGGACAUUUUCCCAUGGAAUUUCUCAAUUUUUCCACGGAAUUCCUCCAUUUUAAGGACAUUUUUUCCCAUUUUUCCCACACGAAUUUUUCCAUUCCAAGUCCAUUUUUCCUGGGGUGUUUUUUUCCGGAACUCCUCCAUCCACAUUUCCCAUUUUUUCCCCGGAAUUCCCGAAUUUCCCCCAUUUUCCCCCGUUUCAGGCUGGCGGGCGCUGCCCCAGCUCUGCGGCCGCCUCGCGGUCCAGGAGCCACCGGAGCCGCCCCGAGCGGGGCCGGAGCCGCGCGGCCGGGACGGGCUCGGGGUCCUGCUCCUGCUCCAGGAU